GGAACAGGCAGGCAGUUAGCAGAUAGAGGCUGACGGGAGCAGAGUGAUGACCUAAUCCUGCAUCCUGCCAUGUGGAUUUUGCCAGACCUCUUGCCUCAGUUUCCCCAUUUGUCAUCUGGCUAGGUGGCAUCACCUAAAAAAGAUUCCCCUUCCCCAGGCAGUACUGAGAUGUGGCUGACAGGCAAGCAGAGCUGCCAGUCGUGCCUGCUGAGGUUUUUCAGACUCUUAUUUGUAUUUUUUUUUCCAGUAAGUCCCUCGGCAGAUGACAUUACCGCACCUGCGAGAAACGCCAGCUCUGCACAUCUCGAGGAAACCAUCAUUUCCAGCAAUCAGUUCUUGGCCUAUUUAGCUGGUUUACAGCUAAAAAAACACCUUUAUGGAGAUGGUAGACCCGGGCAUCGGCAGCAGGUGACCCAUCUUCGAGAGAGACCUUCCCGUGCAGGGUCGCAUCCUCGCACAUGCAGGCAUCGCAGUCGGCGUUGACGCGGCCCAUGAGGCAGGUGAUGUUGCAGGCUGGAGGAGAGGAUCUUUAUGGGUCCCCGAUGAUUCCUCAUAUCUGGAUCCCCCCCUUUAUUGUGCUAUUUGGCUAUAAACUCCCCAUGCUCUGCUCCCUUAGUACUGCUUAGUACUCCAGCCCUGCUCUGGAAGGCACCGGCAUCAUGGAAUUCUGGCAAGGGAGAGAAGGAUGGGAAAAACGGCAGCGAAGGGAGGGCAACGCCUACGCACUGGUGAGAUCAGGACAUUGUCCCUUGCCCGUAAGUGAGGUUAUAGGAGCACCUGAGCAAACAUGUCCGAUGCAGAGCCGCCCUUCUUCAGUUGCUUCGUUACAGUGCACGCCCCAGAGGCGCUCAGCUAGGCAGGAUCUGGUACGCUUCUGCACACCGGUUUGGCCACACUUUCCUGAGCACUCACUCCAUUCCGACCAUGGAGACAAAAACCUUUUGGAAUCUUGCACCAGUGGACCUUGAAUAACAUCAGCAGUGUGUUACUGAGACGCGUGUUACACGUACAGCUGCCUGAAAACGGGCAGUUGGUGUCUUAGAAGCUGCUAUACAGAAGCUGCUGUAUAACUCAGACUAUACAUUUGGAUAUUAUGCACCACAUGGUUUAAACAAACUCAAAGCGUGUUCAGGGAGCUGGGAAAUAAAGCACAAGAAGGCAUCUGAAGGCUUCUGACUUAAUUCCCUGCAGGCUACCGAAUUCAGGAUGAUUAAAAUAAACUUGAGGGGAGCAAAGUGCACGCAGCUCAUGCUUAGCGUUGAAUAACUUUGGCUUAAAGGAAAUCAAACACACAUUGUCAUUUAAAUGCUGUCUGAGGGGCAACGCUCGCCUGCAUUUCAAAUGUGGUUAAAUAAAAAAAAAAAAGAGGGUAAAA